AAUUAUUUGAGAGUUUGAUCCUGGCUCAGGACGAACGCUGGCGGCGUGCUUAACACAUGCAAGUUGAACGGUAUGACAUGGAAGCUUGCUGAAGUG
rnacentral:rRNA from 1 species